rnacentral:rRNA from 1 species
CAAUUGCGUAUACUGAAGUUGUUGCAGUUAAAGAGCUCGUAGUUGGAUUUCUGCUCAAGUCAACUGGUCCUCCCACUGGGAGCGCUUUCACUUGGAGGAAAUUAGGGUGUUUCAAGCAGGCAUACGCCUUGAAUACAUGAGCAUGGACAAAUACAGGACCUUGGAUCUUUGUUGCUGGUUUCUACCACCAAGGUAUAUAAUGAUUACAAGGGAUAAUUGGGGGCAUUCGUAUUCAACUGUCAGAGGCGAAACUCUUGGAUCAGUUGAAGACGAUCUACUGCGAAAGCAUUUGCCAGGGAUGUUUUCAUUGG